rnacentral:rRNA from 1 species
GUCCACGCCGUAAACGAUGGAUACUAGCUGUUCGGAGCAAUCUGAGUGGCUAAGCGAAAGUGAUAAGUAUCCCACCUGGGGAGUACGCACGCAAGUGUGAAACUCAAAGGAAUUGACGGGGGCCCGCACAAGCGGUGGAGCAUGUGGUUUAAUUCGAUGAUACGCGAGGAACCUUACCAAGGCUUAAAUGUAGAUUGACAGGACUGGAAACGUUUUUCUCGGACAUUUACAAGGUGCUGCAUGGUUGUCGU